rnacentral:rRNA from 1 species
UACGUAGGGUGCAAGCGUUGCUCGGAAUCACUGGGCGUAAAGCGCACGUAGGCGGACUCUUAAGUCGGUGGUGAAAUCCUGGAGCUCAACUCCAGAACUGCCUUCGAUACUGAGAGUCUUGAGUCCGGGAGAGGUGAGUGGAACUGCGAGUGUAGAGGUGAAAUUCGUAGAUAUUCGCAAGAACACCAGUGGCGAAGGCGGCUCACUGGCCCGGUACUGACGCUGAGGUGCGAAAGCGUGGGGAGCAAACAGG